rnacentral:rRNA from 1 species
UACGAAGGGGGCUAGCGUUGUUCGGAAUCACUGGGCGUAAAGCGCACGUAGGCGGAUCUUUAAGUCAGGGGUGAAAUCCCGAGGCUCAACCUCGGAACUGCCUUUGAUACUGGCCAUCUAGAGAUCGGAAGAGGUAAGUGGAAUUCCCAGUGUAGAGGUGAAAUUCGUAGAUAUUGGGAAGAACACCAGUGGCGAAGGCGGCUUACUGGUCCGAUACUGACGCUGAGGUGCGAAAGCGUGGGGAGCAAACAGG